rnacentral:rRNA from 1 species
AUUGAACGCUGGCGGCAUGCCUUACACAUGCAAGUCGAACGGUAACGAGCCUUCGGGUGCCGACGAGUGGCGAACGGGUGAGUAAUACAUCGGAACGUGCCCGAUCGUGGGGGAUAACGAGGCGAAAGCUUUGCUAAUACCGCAUACGAUCUACGGAUGAAAGCAGGGGACCGCAAGGCCUUGCGCGGACGGAGCGGCCGAUGGCAGAUUAGGUAGUUGGUGGGAUAAAAGCUUACCAAGCCGACGAUCUGUAGCUGGUCUGAGAGGAUGAUCAGCCACACUGGGACUGAGACACGGCCCAGACUCCUACGGGAGGCAGCAGUGGGGAAUUUUGGACAAUGGGCGCAAGCCUGAUCCAGCCAUGCCGCGUGCAGGAUGAAGGCCUUCGGGUUGUAAACUGCUUUUGUACGGAACGAAAAGCCUUCUUUUAAUACAGGAGGGUCAUGACGGUACCGUAAGAAUAAGCACCGGCUAACUACGUG